UGGGGGAUAUUGCACAAUGGGCGAAAGCCUGAUGCAGCGACGCCGCGUGGGGGAUGAAGGCCUUCGGGUUGUAAACUUCUUUUGCUCUGAACAAGGCGCACCAUGGGGUGUGUUGAGUGUAGGGGUUGAUUAGCGCCGGCUAACUACGUGCCAGCAGCCGCGGUAAUACGUAGGGCGCGAGCGUUGUCCGGAAUUAUUGGGCGUAAAGGGCUUGUAGGUGGCUGGUUGCGUCUGUCGUGAAAGCUCAUGGCUUAACUGUGGGUGUGCGGUGGGUACGAGCUGGCUUGAGUGCAGUAGAGGAGGCUGGAAUUCCUGGUGUAGCGGUGGAAUGCGCAGAUAUAAGGAGGAAUACCGGUGGCGAAGGCGGGUCUCUGGGCUGUUACUGACACUGAGGAGCGAAAGCAUGGGGAGCGAGCAGG
rnacentral:rRNA from 1 species